UCGCCCCCAUCCACCAGGAUUGAGAGGGCAGAGACCAGUGUCCGAAUUACCGUCUGCGCGACACUGCAAGACCAGUCUGCCUUCUCCAGUUCAGGCAUCAGGGCCGACUUCGUGGUCCAGUAUGAUGUAGUCAUGGAGGACAUCGUUGGAGACGUGCAGAUUUGCGAUGGCUAUUUUGUUCAUUACUUUGCACCCAGAAGCCUUCCACCUGUUGAGAAAAACGUGGUGCUUGUUAUUGACGCGAGCGGCUCCAUGUUUGGUACCAAAGUGAAGCAGAAAGAAGAUAAGUUGUUGCCUAGACAUUGGAGCAUGAGGGAACCUUUUUUGGGUGAUGGAAAUAUUCUAUAUCUUGAUUGCAG